AGCUCCCUUCUCUCUCCUUCGGUCCGGUCAGCUCCCCUGUCAGCUCGCGAGACUUGCAGUGGAGCUGACAGGGGAGCUGACCGGACCGGAGGAGAGAGAAGGGAGC